rnacentral:sRNA from 1 species
UUCAGAGAGGCAACCAUUGCUAUCCAAACCCA